GUCAUAUUCCUCUCUGCAGCCUGCAGAACUUGCCUGGCUGUCUUAGCUUGAUUCUCAAUUGAAGGAUUAGUCUCAAGAAGUCUGCGAGCAAAGUUUGCAGCACUGGCAAGGUUCUUAGCCUUGUAACAGACAGUCAUAGCAUUUAAUAGAGCAAGCCUCAAAUGUGGCAACUGCAGGUUGCAGUGCGUAAAAUAGGCUGCAAGCUCCAUCUGGCGUACUGGAUUGUCCUUGAG
rnacentral:misc_RNA from 1 species